ACGAACGCUGGCGGCGUGGAUAAGACAUGCAAGUCGAACGAGAGAAUUGCUAGCUUGCUAAUAAUUCUCUAGUGGCGCACGGGUGAGUAACACGUGAGUAACCUGCCCCCGAGAGCGGGAUAGCCCUGGGAAACUGGGAUUAAUACCGCAUAGUAUCGAAAGAUUAAAGCAGCAAUGCGCUUGGGGAUGGGCUCGCGGCCUAUUAGUUAGUUGGUGAGGUAACGGCUCACCAAGGCGAUGACGGGUAGCCGGUCUGAGAGGAUGUCCGGCCACACUGGAACUGAGACACGGUCCAGACACCUACGGGUGGCAGCAGUCGAGAAUCAUUCACAAUGGGGGAAACCCUGAUGGUGCGACGCCGCGUGGGGGAAUGAAGGUCUUCGGAUUGUAAACCCCUGUCAUGUGGGAGCAAAUUAAAAAGAUAGUACCACAAGAGGAAGAGACGGCUAACUCUGUGCCAGCAGCCGCGGUAAUACAGAGGUCUCAAGCGUUGUUCGGAAUCACUGGGCGUAAAGCGUGCGUAGGCUGUUUCGUAAGUCGUGUGUGAAAGGCGCGGGCUCAACCCGCGGACGGCACAUGAUACUGCGAGACUAGAGUAAUGGAGGGGGAACCGGAAUUCUCGGUGUAGCAGUGAAAUGCGUAGAUAUCGAGAGGAACACUCGUGGCGAAGGCGGGUUCCUGGACAUUAACUGACGCUGAGGCACGAAGGCCAGGGGAGCGAAAGGGAUUAGAUACCCCUGUAGUCCUGGCAGUAAACGGUGCACGCUUGGUGUGCGGGGAAUCGACCCCCUGCGUGCCGGAGCUAACGCGUUAAGCGUACCGCCUGGGGAGUACGGUCGCAAGAUUAAAACUCAAAGAAAUUGACGGGGACCCGCACAAGCGGUGGAGUAUGUGGCUUAAUUCGAUGCAACGCGAAGAACCUUACCUGGGCUUGACAUGUAAUGAACAACAUGUGAAAGCAUGCGACUCUUCGGAGGCGUUACACAGGUGCUGCAUGGCCGUCGUCAGCUCGUGUCGUGAGAUGUUUGGUUAAGUCCAGCAACGAGCGCAACCCCUGUUGCCAGUUACCAGCACGUGAAGGUGGGGACUCUGGCGAGACUGCCCAGAUCAACUGGGAGGAAGGUGGGGACGACGUCAGGUCAGUAUGGCCCUUAUGCCCAGGGCUGCACACGUACUACAAUGCCCAGUACAGAGGGGGCCGAAGCCGCGAGGCGGAGGAAAUCCUAAAAACUGGGCCCAGUUCGGACUGUAGGCUGCAACCCGCCUACACGAAGCCGGAAUCGCUAGUAAUGGCGCAUCAGCUACGGCGCCGUGAAUACGUUCCCGGGUCUUGUACACACCGCCCGUCACAUCAUGGAAGCCGGUCGCACCCGAAGUAUCUGAAGCCAACCGCAAGGAGGCAGGGUCCUAAGGUGAGACUGGUAACUGGGAUG
rnacentral:rRNA from 1 species